rnacentral:rRNA from 1 species
GUGGGGAAUAUUGGACAAUGGGCGCAAGCCUGAUCCAGCCAUGCCGCGUGAGUGAUGAAGGCCUUAGGGUUGUAAAGCUCUUUCGCCGACGAAGAUAAUGACGGUAGUCGGAGAAGAAGCCCCGGCUAACUUCGUGCCAGCAGCCGCGGUAAUACGAAGGGGGCUAGCGUUGUUCGGAAUCACUGGGCGUAAAGCGCACGUAGGCGGACAUUUAAGUAAGGGGUGAAAGCCUGGAGCUCAACUCCAGAACUGCCCUUGAUACUGGGUGUCUCGAGUCCGGAAGAGGUAAGUGGAACUGCGAGUGUAGAGGUGAAAUUCGUAGAUAUUCGCAAGAACACCAGUGGCGAAGGCGGCUUACUGGUCCGGUACUGACGCUGAGGUGCGAAAGCGUGGGGAGCAAACAGGAUUAGAAACCCCAGUAGUCC